GCAGUCGACGGAAAGGCCCUUCGGGGUACUCGAGUGGCGAACGGGUGAGUAAACGUGGGUGAUCUGCCCUGCACUUUGGGAUAAGCCUGGGAAACUGGGUCUAAUACCGAAUAUGAUCAUCGGCUUCAUGGUCGGUGGUGGAAAGCUUUUGCGGUGUGGGAUGGGCCCGCGGCCUAUCAGCUUGUUGGUGGGGUAAUGGCCUACCAAGGCGACGACGGGUAGCCGGCCUGAGAGGGUGUCCGGCCACACUGGGACUGAGAUACGGCCCAGACUCCUACGGGAGGCAGCAGUGGGGAAUAUUGCACAAUGGGCGCAAGCCUGAUGCAGCGACGCCGCGUGAGGGAUGACGGCCUUCGGGUUGUAAACCUCUUUCAGCAGGGACGAAGCGCAAGUGACGGUACCUGUAGAAGAAGGACCGGCCAACUACGUGCCAGCAGCCGCGGUAAUACGUAGGGUCCGAGCGUUGUCCGGAAUUACUGGGCGUAAAGAGCUCGUAGGUGGUUUGUCGCGUUGUUCGUGAAAACUCACAGCUUAACUGUGGGCGUGCGGGCGAUACGGGCAGACUUGAGUACUGCAGGGGAGACUGGAAUUCCUGGUGUAGCGGUGGAAUGCGCAGAUAUCAGGAGGAACACCGGUGGCGAAGGCGGGUCUCUGGGCAGUAACUGACGCUGAGGAGCGAAAGCGUGGGGAGCGAACAGGAUUAGAUACCCUGGUAGUCCACGCCGUAAACGGUGGGUACUAGGUGUGGGUUUCCUUCCUUGGGAUCCGUGCCGUAGCUAACGCAUUAAGUACCCCGCCUGGGGAG
rnacentral:rRNA from 1 species